GACGAACGCUGGCGGCGUGCUUAACACAUGCAAGUCGAACGGAAAGGCCCUGCUUUUGUGGGGUGCUCGAGUGGCGAAAGGGUGAGUAACACGUGAGUAACCUGCCCUUGACUUUGGGAUAACUUCAGGAAACUGGGGCUAAUACCGGAUAGGAGCUCCUGCUGCAUGGGGGGGGUUGGAAAGGUUCGGCGGUUGGGGAUGGACUCGCGGCUUAUCAGCUUGUUGGUGGGGUAGUGGCUUACCAAGGCUUUGACGGGUAGCCGGCCUGAGAGGGUGACCGGCCACAUUGGGACUGAGAUACGGCCCAGACUCCUACGGGAGGCAGCAGUGGGGAAUAUUGCACAAUGGGCGGAAGCCUGAUGCAGCAACGCCGCGUGCGGGAUGACGGCCUUCGGGUUGUAAACCGCUUUCGCCUGUGACGAAGCGUGAGUGACGGUAAUGGGUAAAGAAGCACCGGCUAACUACGUG
rnacentral:rRNA from 1 species